GUUCGUCCCCUCUUGCACCAAGCUCUGAAGCCCUUGGUUUUGUCAUUAAAUUGACCCGAGUCGAAGAUCCCAAAGCUUACCUCUGUACUCUACUCGCCAAUUAUCGCACCCUGGGUUCUGGAGAUUGCUUGCUGCCGGCCACAAAUCACCGCUUCUUUGCAACCAGGGAAUUGCAGCCCAAUUCAUUCUAAAAGCUAAGUCCUACUACCUCGUAUGAGUACAACAAUGUUUGAUGCAUCUUAUGCAUAUGUGAGAGUUUGUGAUAAGCUAUUAUAGUUCGAUUCCUUUUUGUUUGGUUGCAAAAUCUGUAUACGUAUGGGUGCUUCGUGCUGGUAUUUGAUUCCUGUUGUUGUGUGGGGGGAGUCUUCAUGGCUUUUGGUGCUAAUUAUUGCGGAAUAUACUCAAG
rnacentral:lncRNA from 1 species